UACGAAGGGGGCCAGCGUUGCUCGGAAUCACUGGGCGUAAAGCGCACGUAGGCGGAUUGCUAAGUCAGGGGUGAAAUCCUGGAGCUCAACUCCAGAACUGCCUUUGAUACUGGCGAUCUCGAGUCCGGGAGAGGUGAGUGGAACUGCGAGUGUAGAGGUGAAAUUCGUAGAUAUUCGCAAGAACACCAGUGGCGAAGGCGGCUCACUGGCCCGGUACUGACGCUGAGGUGCGAAAGCGUGGGGAGCAAACAGG
rnacentral:rRNA from 1 species